rnacentral:rRNA from 1 species
AGCGAACGCUGGCGGCAGGCCUAACACAUGCAAGUCGAACGAAGUCUUCGGACUUAGUGGCGGACGGGUGAGUAACACGUGGGAACGUGCCUUUAGGUUCGGAAUAACUCAGGGAAACUUGUGCUAAUACCGAAUGUGCCCUUCGGGGGAAAGAUUUAUCGCCUUUAGAGCGGCCCGCGUCUGAUUAGCUAGUUGGUGAGGUAAAGGCUCACCAAGGCGACGAUCAGUAGCUGGUCUGAGAGGAUGAUCAGCCACAUUGGGACUGAGACACGGCCCAAACUCCUACGGGAGGCAGCGGUGGGGAAUCUUGCGCAAUGGGCGAAAGCCUGACGCCGCCAUGCCGCGUGAAUGAUGAAGGUCUUAGGAUUGUAAAAUUCUUUCACCGGGGACGAUAAUGACGGUACCCGGAGAAGAAGCCCCGGCUAACUUCGUGCCAGCCGCCGCAGUAAAAC